rnacentral:rRNA from 1 species
AGAGUUUGAUCAUGGCUCAGAAUCAACGCUGGCGGCGUGCCUAACACAUGCAAGUCGAACGAGAAAGGGGAGCAAUCCCUGAGUAAAGUGGCGACCGGGUGAGUAACACGUGACCAACCUACCCUCGAGUGGGGAAUAACUCCGGGAAACCGGGGCUAAUACCGCAUAACAUCUCCGGCUCGGAAGGGCUGGAGAUCAAA